AUGCCCCAGAGGCUUGAGAGUGUUCACAGAAGAGAAGUCGAAUGCGAGAAAAGCACCAGCGUUUCCAAACACGGAGAAUGCUUUGUGCAGUUCAACUGCCUCACUCUGCUGCCACACUCCAUGGAUGCCCCCAUAGUGCCCCCAGAGAGCGCUCAUCACCCAAACGGACUCCUGAAAGACACAUCGUGUGGCCUCGGUCUUUCGCCGUCCCUCGCUAUCGCACGCCAUCACACACCAUCGCAAGCCACCGCACUCCAUCGCUCGAAAUCUGCAGACAUCUUGAUUUUUCCCGCGCUGUCUGUCAGGUCUCCGCCGCCACUCGACGCCAGGGCGCCGGGCUUUGUGGGCUGUGCUGCUCCUCGGAGGGCUUGGCACCAGCCAGCGCCCCCUCCUGCAGCACUCUGAUCUGCACCCCUAGAGGGGCGUCCACUGUCCGUGGGGUGAGAAUGCCCGCUGCUUAUGCGCACCGUGGGUAAGGACCCUUCUGUGGGACCCAGUAGAGGGGACGGUCAAUGAGCUCAGCCAGUUCUGAGUUCUGAGAACUGUCUGGCAAAGCGGGUGCAGAGCAAAGCGUGAUUUAGGAGACAGGGGCUGGCCUUGGGGGUCACAUCCUGGCUAAGAUCCUUCAUUCUCCUGAGGGUGACUUUCUGUAAAGUAGGGAAACUGCAAAAGCUCUCCGAGGGCAGAGGCCUUGGCUGUUUUUCUUGAUUUUAAACCCAUAGUGCCUGUCCACGUGUAGAUACUCAGAAUUGGUGGGCUGAGUGUACAGCCGAGGCAUUUUUACCAGAAGUCAGUUUUCCUGUGGACUCUGGGUGGGGACAGAUGGAAUCUGCCUGUGAAGUGAUGAUGGCUGUCAGGGUCCUGGGUACCUUUCUCUUCCCUGGGGAGUGAGCACCCCUUUGGAGAUGUGGCAGCUAACACGCGAACGUGGGCUCACCUGCCCUUUUUUGCACCUGUAUUCGAAAGUGAUCGUGGGCUGCCUGUGCCCUGGUCAUUGAUAGUGCAGGGAGAGAAAUCGCUGAAAGCGCUUCCCCGUGUUUGGAGGGUCCACUCCUGUCCCUUCCAAACUCUGGAGCUUUCUCACACCUCCUCACCAUCUGUCAAAUGCCUCCUGGCGCUUGGUGUCUGAUGAUUAUUGAGUGCUCCCUGUGCAAGGCUCAGUGCCGGUGUCUGUAAGGCGUUCACCAAGGUGUAUGAGGGUGUGUCCCUGCCUUAGGAUUGGUGGUGGAACCACAGCUACAGCUCUGCUAGUCACACCCUGUGGCAAUUACUGGCUUGAUUGUCUUUGCCUCUCUAUUUUGACCUUGAGGGCAGUGUCUUGAGCUUUUGUUUAAUAUUUUAUUGUAUUUGUUUAGUGACAGGGUCUCACUCUGUUGUC